rnacentral:lncRNA from 1 species
AAAGGCCUAGAUCAAGGCAUUAUGUGCUAAAUUUUGUGAUCCAAACCUUCUAAAUUGUUGAUUUUGUAGAAUGCUCAAGUUUCUGAUUAAAUCCCCUAACACUACUGAUAGAUGCAUGGACCAAUUCCUCCAAAUUAAGGUAAGUGGUGAAAGUUGAUGCUGGUAAUAUGAAUAAAAAGAGAAUAUACAUAUAUAUGCAUGUAUUUUUGAAGUUUGAGAUUGCAAGUUGUUGAAUGCAUUAGACAGUUAGGAUCUGUUUUUUAGUAACACAUGUCAAGAACCUAAGGAAAAGUGACCGGACUGGUCAUGAUUAGCAACAAGGCAUAGAAAGUCAUAACUAGCUAGUGUAGUAGGUAGCAUCCUAGUAAAAGGAACAUUCUACCUAAGUUGCUGCACCCGCUUCAGAUUCUCCGAGGAAACUUGAACUGACACCCACUCCCUAAUCACUUCCUAUUAUAAUUUUUUUUAAGAGCAGCUCGCUUCCUUGCACCUACAACUCACUUCCAUUGCAGUUAACGGAUGGCAUGCAAGCCCAAGGAAUUUUUGCUAUAAGCAAAAACAACUAGCUAAUUAAGUUAGCCCCAUGUACAAAAAGGGUACUUGGCUG